rnacentral:rRNA from 1 species
UACGUAGGGACCAAGCGUUGUUCGGAUUUACUGGGCGUAAAGGGCGCGUAGGCGGCAAUUCAAGUCAGUUGUGAAAUCUCCGAGCUUAACUCGGAACGGUCAACUGAUACUGCUUUGCUAGAGUACAGAAGGGGCAAUCGGAAUUCUUGGUGUAGCGGUGAAAUGCGUAGAUAUCAAGAGGAACACCUGAGGUGAAGACGGGUUGCUGGGCUGAUACUGACGCUGAGGCGUGAAAGCUAGGGUAGCAAACGGG